AGUAAAACCAUGCUUUUGAUUUCUUGAAGAAAAAAAAUAUAAUUUGACAAAUUACGAGGAAUCUUUAUGAAUUCUCAAAUAAUUGUUGCGGGUCGCAUACGCAGCUCCAGAGGAAUGUUUCCAUUUUUUAUAGAAUUUAUUUACUUUUCAGAAAACCAUAGUUUCAUGCGAUUUCAUCUCGGGACUCCUAACAUACAUCUGAUAAGGACCGAAAAGAAAUCGAAAGGUUUGCGGAAUCAAUCAGGCGUGGAGCUCGGUGAUAUGCUGUUUUUUGACACCGAAUCGAAAAAUGUCAUGCUGUGGCGAAAAACCAGACUGCCAUCCAUCCUGUGUAAAAACGGCUUGACUCUCAAGAAUGUGGAGAAAGGACUUGUAAAGUUCGCGAAAUUAAAACGGAAGGGACUGCUGUGAUGAGCUAAAAUUCUAUUUAAGGAGCCUUCGAGCAAUCACAUAAUUAAAUGGACGUAGGUACCUAUUGAAAUAAAAAGAACUAUCUCCUCUUCUACAUGGGCCCUGUUAUGUAUGUAUUCUUGUAAGCCUCAGAGCCCACAUUAUAAUAAAAAUAGUUUUUUUUUUUUUUUUUUUUUUUUUUUUUAAAUCGUCCCAAAUAUUAACCCUAGCUUGACUUAGUUGUUGCGUCCUUUUGACCGGCACGUUUCUUACGUUCUCUUACGUUUACUUUUACGUUCUUUUACGUUCACUGUUACGUCCUUUCACCUUAAAUUUUACUUUCUUUGACGACGUACGAGCGACUGCAGGCUGAUUAUUGAAAUUGAUAGACAAAGAAGACAUAAGGAAAAUGAAGCGAUCCUAUCGAUUCGGUUGAAACAGGUGAUUUUUAUAAACCUACCUACUUAUAGGGGGAAAAUAAUGGACCAUGUGGUCUCCCUUGGGUUGCCGUUAGUUAGUUUAUUACUUACCUCCUUUGUCAAAUUGGAACCAUCAGCUUCUAUACGCCAAUCGUAACGCUCCAUUUUCUCUUUGUCUUCUUUGCCCAUCGUUUUGUCUUUCCAUUUCAACAGUCACCUCACUAGGUACCUAUUUAAAAAAAAUUAAAGCAAUGCGUACCUAUAGAUUUCAAGAAGAAAACUCAUAAAAAAACUACAUGUAGGCCCAAAUCAGAGGAAACCCUGAAUUUCUUUUUUGACCAAAAAUCCACUUUGCAUUUUAACAAGAUUUUGUCCCUUUAUUUUAUGGAAUUUUGAAGGAGAAAAAAUUCAGAUGAAUUUUACACAACAUUUUUUGUCUUUAUAUUGCAUAACUUGCAGUAUACUUUGUGUUUAGAAUCAAUGUGAUUUUCAAAAUUUAAGAAAUUUUUGAUGCCGAUUUUUUUUGCAUGGUUGUCUUACUGAAUUGUGAAUUUCACAUAUACGUUAAUUAAAUAAAAGGGAAAGGGUUGUAACUCGUA